GUGGAAUGAUGCAGGAGCUGUGUAAUAGAAUGGAACAAAUUUUCUAGUGCAUACGUAUGUUUAUAUAUAAAAACAUAAAUAUUUGGGGGUUGGACUAGGUCCCUUCCAACCCCUUUGAUUCUGUGAUUCUGUAUAUAUGCACUUAUAAAUACAUAAACAUCUACAUAUACAUAUAAACGUAUAUCUGCAUAUAUAUAUGUUUAUUCACUCACCCUUGCACAUUUGUGUAUUGGCGCAGUAACCCUCAGUGGGGAUGCUAUGGACCACCUCCCGCUGGCAGAGAUGGUGGCAACGUGGGCUGAGAGCAAAGGGAACAUCGUGCAGAAAGACCCUACGCAAGUGAGUAUGGAAGAGAGGAUGGAUAUUGAUGCUUGUGCCCCAGACCAGCCUGCUCCUUGUGACAGACUGCAAUAAGCCAUCGCUGGACGAUGAUAGAAAGGUUCUUUGAAAAUCUCUCCAAGAUGCUUCCAAUAAAAGAAUUGUGCAACUAUUCCCA
rnacentral:lncRNA from 1 species